UACAGAGGAGCCAAGCGUUGUCCGGAUUGACUGGGCGUAAAGCGCACGUAGACGGAUUCCUAAGUCGGUGGUGAAAUCCUGGAGCUCAACUCCAGAACUGCCUCCGAUACUGAGAGUCUACGAGUCCGGGAGAGGUGAGUGGAACUGCGAGUGUAGAGGUGAAAUUCGUAGAUAUUCGCAAGAACACCAGUGGCGAAGGCGGCUCACUGGCCCGGUACUGACGCUGAGGUGCGAAAGCGUGGGGAGCAAACAGG
rnacentral:rRNA from 1 species